rnacentral:rRNA from 1 species
AUUGAACGCUGGCGGUAUGCUUUACACAUGCUAGUCGAACGGUAGAGGGGGCAACCCCUCGAGAGUGGCGAACGGGUGAGUAAUAUAUCGGAACGUGCCCAGUCGUGGGGGAUAACGUAGCGAAAGUUACGCUAAUACCGCAUACGAUCUACGGAUGCAAGCGGGGGAUCGCAAGACCUCGCGCGAUUGGAGCGGCCGAUAUCAGAUUAGGUAGUUGGUGGGGUAAAGGCUCGCCAAGCCAACGAUCUGUAGCUGGUCUGAGAGGACGACCAGCCACACUGGAACUGAGACACGGUCCAGACUCCUACGGGAGGCAGCAGUGGGGAAUUUUGGACAAUGGACGCAAGUCUGAUCCAGCCAUUCCGCGUGCAGGAUGAAGGCCCUCGGGUUGUAAACUGCUUUUGUACGGAACGAAAAGGUUUCCAUUAAUACUGGGAGCUCAUGACGGUACCGUAAGAAUAAGCACCAGCUAACUACGUGCCAGCCGCCGCCGUAA